GGCCUGGGGAUGACGGGAACGCGGAAGCGGAAGUAGGCGGCACGCGAGCCAUGUUGCUAGGAGACGGACGCCCUAGUUUUGCGUUUUUGCUGGAGGGUCUUACCCUCCCGGAGCGCCCGAAGGAACCUGUCACCUAGGAGCUGCUUAAGCGGUUUACCGGAAGGGAGAACUCGUGCGCCUGUUGAGCACCCUUGAUGGAAGGAAACCACACUCCAGAGGAGUCUGGGAAUCUCUGCUCUCCUACGCAUGACCUAUGUUAUAUUGUCUCUGUGUUGGGAAGGAUGUUCUUCACUGUGUGAAUUUAAUGAAGAAAAGUGUACAAAGCGACAGCACCCCAGAUGGCGGAGCAGCAGUUAUACUUCAGAGCAAAUUCAAGGGGGGGGGGGGCGCUAUCUAUAGAAUCAUGGCUUUUGGCGAUCACUCACCCGUGAAUUGGGAUUAUCCAACACAACAAAAAUGACGAAGAUAUUGGCAUUCUGGGCAGCCUGGACUGCCGCCAGGACUCUGUCUUUGCCUUCGAGAAAAAGGCCUCGUCCAUCAGAAACUAUGAGGAGCAGCUGCGCAGUCUCUGUAGAAGCCGUACAUUAGAGGAGCAAGGGAAAAAGCAAAACUUGUUUGACAAUUGAAAACCAUCUGUGGGCCCUCUAAAGCCAAACAGAUCCCUGGAGCUGCCACAGGAGAGGCCUAUGGCCAGACCUAUUACUCAGGAGAGACAAGACACUCAAUUGAUCAGUAUAGCCGUGCUUCAGGGAAGGUCAAAUUUAGAUCAACUUCAAUUGUGACUCCCCCUCCCCCACAGGGUGCCCUGGAACUAGUUCUAUAGAUCAGGUAGGUAGGCCUCAAACUCAAAGAGAUCAAUCAGCCUGCCUCUGUCUCCAGAGGGCUGGGAUUAAAGGCGUGCGCUAGCACUGCUUGGCUAAAGAUUCUGUUUGUUUUUAUGUUCUAUGAGUGUUUUGCAGCACAUAAAUGCACCACAUCCACACACCAUCUACACAGGCCAGAACAAGGUAUCUAUUCUAGAACUGGAGUUAGAGGCAGUUUGUGCUUGGAACUGAACUUCCGUUCUCUGCAAGAGUAGAAAGUGUGGGAACAGGAGGCUCAGCAGAGUAAGGCAUUUGCUACCUAACUGACAACUUAAACUGAUUCCUUGGGGCUUACAAGAUAGAAGGAGAGUUGGCUUCACAGGCUGUUCUGUCAACCAUGUGUUUAAGCUUAUGGACUCCAGUGACCACAGAUGAGCAGGCCAUCAGAAGUGAUCAAGUCAGUGAACUAGAAUUAUGUCUUCCAAAUGUCAUAUAUAUCAUAUAUAUCGCUUCUCGGAUUUUGCCAAUUCCAUGUUUCUAACUUCCUCUCCUUUACCCAUCUCUGUGUCAGAGCCAGGGCUAAAUAACUGGGGUAUUUCAAGCCAGGGUUACAUGAACUCAAUUCCAUACACCUUUCUCCAUUCCCUUAUAACUCUGAACUUAUGUAUCCUAUAAAUAUGCACUAAUUUGUAUCUAGCACUUUUAUCAGUAUAUCUAAACAUUGAAAAUGAGGUCAGCAUAAAUUUCGGGAUAAUGAAUAAAGAACUCUAUCACUGA